AUGGCCUGGCCUCUUGUCUGCCUCUUCCUGCUCAUUGUCUGCUCAGGUUCCUUCUCCAAGCUUGUGGUGUCUCAACCUCCCUCUGCCUCUGCAUCCCUGGGAGCCAAACUCUCCUGCACCCUGAGCAGUGGGCAAAGUGGCAACAAUAUUUAUUGGCACCAGCAGAGCACAGGGAAGGCCCCUCGGUUUAUCAUGUAUGUCACUAGCUAUGGAAGUGCAGGCAGGGGUGAAGGGAUCCCUGAUCGCUUCUCUGGCUCAGGCUCUGGGGCCACCAGAUACUUGUCCAUCAGCAACAUCCAGCCUGAGGAUGAGGCUGAUUACUACUGUCAGUCCUAUUAUUACCCUGGUAGUGGUUAUGCUCAGACAGUGACACAUUCAGUGGGGAAGUGA